rnacentral:lncRNA from 12 species
AUGUCUGGUGCCUCGCGAAGGAUGCUCUUCCCCCGGGGCUGUCGAGGCGGACCCCCGCAGACAGCUCCGCGCGCCGAGACCCGCGCCCGGCUGCAGGGGGAGGGGAUCCGGGCGCCCCCUCCCGCCUCCGCGCCCCGCCCGCCACCCGCCGCCCGCCGCCCGCCGCCUCACCUAUCAGAUUUCCCGUGCGCCUCGCCGCGCCCCUCCUCCCGCCUCCUCAAUGCCGAGCGGAGGGGCAGCCGCCCUCGGCCUGGACCCGGCGCCGGCGACGACCGGCCGCGCGCCUCCCCGUGUCGCCGCGAUGCGGCUGUGAGCUCACUGCGGCUGCAGCCCGCCGGGCCGGGGGGGCGCGGGGAGCGCGGGCAGCGCGGGGCGCACGCACAGUGUGGCAUGCCAAAGCAAGGUGGUUUGCGCACGUGAUUCCAUCAGGUAAGAUGUGGAGGAGCUUUUUCAGGCUAAUGAAAACUGAUAAUGCCAAGCAUAAUAGGGGAGGUUUAAAUGGUUAGAGAAGCUGAAUUAUGAGGUUGGAAUGGCAUUUUUUAAAAAAUAUUUUAUUUAUUUAUUCAUGAGAGACACCGAGAGAGAGAGAGAGAGAGAGAGAGAGAGAGAGGCAGAGACACAGGCAGAGGGAGAAGCAAGCUCCUCACAGGGAGCCUGAUGUGGGACUUGAUUCUGGAUCCCAGGACCACGACCUGAGCUGAAGGCAGGCACCCAACCCCUGAGCCACCCAGGCAUCCCGGAAAGGCAUUUUUCAUGUGGCUGGUUCCUACUUACUCAGAUUCAUAGAGUCUGUGGCUCUCACCUGCUGA